CCAGUCGCACCUGCUGUUCUCCAGCUUAGGUUUCCACUUGUAUUUUUAAGGGGACUAUCAAGCGAGCCUCGGACAAGAAUUCGUGACAUGUGUGGCUGGGUGUCUGCAACUGAAACCACUUGAGGUGCUGUAACAGGCCCCUGAGAGAACUCCAGCACAAAAUUUCCAUUGGAAUCACCCCGAUUAACAAUGGGUUCAAUACUGUCUUCGAGCAUCCGCUGUGAUAGUUGGUAAACUAGGUGAUCAAUAGUACGCUGAGGACAUGUCCGCGCGAGGUACAAACUUACACGUUUAGCAACUGAAAAAUAUGUCGCAAAUGCACCUGUUACUUCUCCAGAUGCAUUUGAAUCGCUGUCCUCAAUGCCUUUUGUGAUCAAGAAAUCCAGUACAGGGCUAAUAUUUCUGGGCUUACUAGCAAUAGUACUCCAAAGUUUUUCAAUUUCAUCAGGGAACUGAUCCCCAUGUCGCAUUGUGACAUAGUAAAGACUUUUUAGUGAUCUUUCACUCCAACCCGUGUCCUUGAGUUUCCAGAAAUUAAGGUUCUCAAUCCACGGAGCCAUACAGGUCAAGACCUGAUGUUGAGCAAUUAUAUCAACAGCAUCAAGCUGACGCUGCAUAAUUUCUUCACAAAGGAGCUGGCUUAACUCAGGAUGAUCCUUCGCGAGUUUGCAGGAUAGCUGGUACUGAAACUGUUGAUAAGAAUCCGGAAGAUUACCUACAACCGCUGCUCUAUAGCCUCCUGAACCUUCUAUACCAGCCUCAGCCCACUCACGCAUAGAAAGUGUCUCCAGCAUCUGAAGAGCAUCAUCACGAAUUUGUCUAGAUGGGUCGACUACCUUGUACAGAAUUAGACUCACGAGCCUCUGGAUUUCGCAUUUUGGAAUUUCUAGUCGCAUGUAGACCUCAGCCAACACACUGAAGUACCCAUCAGCUAUAGCCGCAUCAGAGUAAUAACACUGGGAAAAGCACAGGUGUGUUAGUUCACGUAUAUUUUAAAAGAGUCCAAUUAAGGAUGAAGUAACAGGAAUGAGCAAGCAUGGAAGUGAAAAAAGCUUAUCAAGACAAGUUAGGUGCUGUAGGAAAACUAAAUUGACUAUCAAGCGAGCCUCGGACAAGAAUUCGUGACAUGUGUGGCUGGGUGUCUGCAACUGAAACCACUUGAGGUGCUGUAACAGGCCCCUGAGAGAACUCCAGCACAAAAUUUCCAUUGGAAUCACCCCGAUUAACAAUGGGUUCAAUACUGUCUUCGAGCAUCCGCUGUGAUAGUUGGUAAACUAGGUGAUCAAUAGUACGCUGAGGACAUGUCCGCGCGAGGUACAAACUUACACGUUUAGCAACUGAAAAAUAUGUCGCAA
rnacentral:lncRNA from 1 species